rnacentral:lncRNA from 1 species
UGAAUUGAAGCAGAACUUACACUGUUACAUUGGAUUCAUGCAUGUGCAAGGCCAUUUGCUAAUGUGCACCAAAAUUUGCAUUUUCACUAAUCAUGUGCAUUUUGGCUAAUUGGGAUUAGCAACAUCAUUAACAUCACAGCAUGUGCAAGGCCAUUUGCUAAUGUGCACCAAAAUUUGCAUUUUCACUAAUCAUGUGCAUUUUGGCUAAUU